rnacentral:rRNA from 1 species
GGGUUGUGAGGUUAAGCGACUAAGCGUACACGGUGGAUGCCCUGGCAGUCAGAGGCGAUGAAGGACGUGCUAAUCUGCGAUAAGCGUCGGUGAGGUGAUAUGAACCGUUAUAACCGGCGAUUUCCGAAUGGGGAAACCCAGUGUGUUUCGACACACUAUCAUUAACUGAAUCCAUAGGUUAAUGAGGCGAACCGGGGGAACUGAAACAUCUAAGUACCCCGAGGAAAAGAAAUCAACCGAGAUUCCCCCAGUAGCGGCGAGCGAACGGGGAGCAGCCCAGAGCCUGAAUCAGUGUGUGUGUUAGUGGAAGCGUCUGGAAAGGCGCGCGAUACAGGGUGACAGCCCCGUACACAAAAAUGCACAUGCUGUGAGCUCGAUGAGUAGGGCGGGACACGUGGUAUCCUGUCUGAAUAUGGGGGGACCAUCCUCCAAGGCUAAAUACUCCUGACUGACCGAUAGUGAACCAGUACCGUGAGGGAAAGGCGAAAAGAACCCCGGCGAGGGGAGUGAAAAAGAACCUGAAACCGUGUACGUACAAGCAGUGGGAGCCUCUUUAUGGGGUGACUGCGUACCUUUUGUAUAAUGGGUCAGCGACUUAUAUUCUGUAGCAAGGUUAACCGAAUAGGGGAGCCGAAGGGAAACCGAGUCUUAACUGGGCGUUAAGUUGCAGGGUAUAGACCCGAAACCCGGUGAUCUAGCCAUGGGCAGGUUGAAGGUUGGGUAACACUAACUGGAGGACCGAACCGACUAAUGUUGAAAAAUUAGCGGAUGACUUGUGGCUGGGGGUGAAAGGCCAAUCAAACCGGGAGAUAGCUGGUUCUCCCCGAAAGCUAUUUAGGUAGCGCCUCGUGAAUUCAUCUCCGGGGGUAGAGCACUGUUUCGGCAAGGGGGUCAUCCCGACUUACCAACCCGAUGCAAACUGCGAAUACCGGAGAAUGUUAUCACGGGAGACACACGGCGGGUGCUAACGUCCGUCGUGAAGAGGGAAACAACCCAGACCGCCAGCUAAGGUCCCAAAGUCAUGGUUAAGUGGGAAACGAUGUGGGAAGGCCCAGACAGCCAGGAUGUUGGCUUAGAAGCAGCCAUCAUUUAAAGAAAGCGUAAUAGCUCACUGGUCGAGUCGGCCUGCGCGGAAGAUGUAACGGGGCUAAACCAUGCACCGAAGCUGCGGCAGCGACACUAUGUGUUGUUGGGUAGGGGAGCGUUCUGUAAGCCUGUGAAGGUGUACUGUGAGGUAUGCUGGAGGUAUCAGAAGUGCGAAUGCUGACAUAAGUAACGAUAAAGCGGGUGAAAAGCCCGCUCGCCGGAAGACCAAGGGUUCCUGUCCAACGUUAAUCGGGGCAGGGUGAGUCGACCCCUAAGGCGAGGCCGAAAGGCGUAGUCGAUGGGAAACAGGUUAAUAUUCCUGUACUUGGUGUUACUGCGAAGGGGGGACGGAGAAGGCUAUGUUGGCCGGGCGACGGUUGUCCCGGUUUAAGCGUGUAGGCUGGUUUUCCAGGCAAAUCCGGAAAAUCAAGGCUGAGGCGUGAUGACGAGGCACUACGGUGCUGAAGCAACAAAUGCCCUGCUUCCAGGAAAAGCCUCUAAGCAUCAGGUAACAUCAAAUCGUACCCCAAACCGACACAGGUGGUCAGGUAGAGAAUACCAAGGCGCUUGAGAGAACUCGGGUGAAGGAACUAGGCAAAAUGGUGCCGUAACUUCGGGAGAAGGCACGCUGAUAUGUAGGUGAAGCGACUUGCUCGUGGAGCUGAAAUCAGUCGAAGAUACCAGCUGGCUGCAACUGUUUAUUAAAAACACAGCACUGUGCAAACACGAAAGUGGACGUAUACGGUGUGACGCCUGCCCGGUGCCGGAAGGUUAAUUGAUGGGGUUAGCGGUAACGCGAAGCUCUUGAUCGAAGCCCCGGUAAACGGCGGCCGUAACUAUAACGGUCCUAAGGUAGCGAAAUUCCUUGUCGGGUAAGUUCCGACCUGCACGAAUGGCGUAAUGAUGGCCAGGCUGUCUCCACCCGAGACUCAGUGAAAUUGAACUCGCUGUGAAGAUGCAGUGUACCCGCGGCAAGACGGAAAGACCCCGUGAACCUUUACUAUAGCUUGACACUGAACAUUGAGCCUUGAUGUGUAGGAUAGGUGGGAGGCUUUGAAGUGUGGACGCCAGUCUGCAUGGAGCCGGCCUUGAAAUACCACCCUUUAAUGUUUGAUGUUCUAACGUUGGCCCCUGAUCGGGGUUGCGGACAGUGUCUGGUGGGUAGUUUGACUGGGGCGGUCUCCUCCUAAAGAGUAACGGAGGAGCACGAAGGUUGGCUAAUCCUGGUCGGACAUCAGGAGGUUAGUGCAAUGGCAUAAGCCAGCUUGACUGCGAGCGUGACGGCGCGAGCAGGUGCGAAAGCAGGUCAUAGUGAUCCGGUGGUUCUGAAUGGAAGGGCCAUCGCUCAACGGAUAAAAGGUACUCCGGGGAUAACAGGCUGAUACCGCCCAAGAGUUCAUAUCGACGGCGGUGUUUGGCACCUCGAUGUCGGCUCAUCACAUCCUGGGGCUGAAGUAGGUCCCAAGGGUAUGGCUGUUCGCCAUUUAAAGUGGUACGCGAGCUGGGUUUAGAACGUCGUGAGACAGUUCGGUCCCUAUCUGCCGUGGGCGCUGGAGAACUGAGGGGGGCUGCUCCUAGUACGAGAGGACCGGAGUGGACGCAUCACUGGUGUUCGGGUUGUCAUGCCAAUGGCACUGCCCGGUAGCUAAAUGCGGAAGAGAUAAGUGCUGAAAGCAUCUAAGCACGAAACUUGCCCCGAGAUGAGUUCUCCCUGACUCCUUGAGAGUCCUGAAGGAACGUUGAAGACGACGACGUUGAUAGGCCGGGUGUGUAAGCGCAGCGAUGCGUUGAGCUAACCGGUACUAAUGAACCGUGAGGCUUAACCUUACAACGCCGAAG